UCUCUGCCAGAGGGCCUCUCUCCAGCCACAGGGACAUAAGGGCAGGCUGAGCGUGCACAGAGGUCAAUGUCCCUGUGAACAACCUUCGACUGAUGAGUGACAAGACUCGGUGGAGAAACACCCCAGUUUCCUUGGCGCCUGGUGAGAGAAUUCGGAGUUGAGAUUAUGCUCAGACACAAGCACUGGAAAGAAGACACGGAACACUGAUAUAAAGGAGAGAAAAAACAAAAGCCGUCUCUGAGUUUGCGUCACCUUGAACGUCCACAGCCUCCUGUUGCCUUUCUAGGAAGGUCCCCUGCCUGUUGCUGGGGUUUUACAGGCAGCUGGGGAACUCGCUGGUAAACCCUGGACAGAAACAGGAACUCUACAAGAAGGGAAACCAAGUUCCAUCCAAAAAUGAAACCACCACAGAUCACAGGAGAUGCCCAUGUCAACACCUGGCCCACGGACAAGGGAGCAAAUAUGUUGAUGAUCUGGUCCAGCCGCCGGACCGCCUCAUUCGUCCCUGUACGUGAGAGGAAGGAAACAUUGCGAGCCACUGGAUUGCCAUCCUUCCUCCUGGGGAAAAAUGCCGUGCAUUUGCUGGCUUUGCGACCCAUGCACUGGGUGAAUGAUGGCGGAAACAAGAAAGGUUCCUUUCAGUCUAACUCUAGAUUAGUCAGUCAUAGGAUUUUCAACCUGGAAAAGGCCUUCACGAUUAGUUGUGGGAAUCUGAACAAUUAAAAAUGGGUAAACUGAGGAUUGGAGACACUAGGUUUUGUGGAGCUAAUUAUUUCAACUCCUGUCUCAGCACUCUUUCCUAUCACACCGUACUGUCUUAACAACUACAAUAAUAUCAAUAGACAUUAUUAUGACCAGCAUGUUGACAGAAUGGAGAUAAAGGACAGAAUCGGCUGAAUUCUUACUCUGCCAGGCACAGAGUUCUAAGCCUCCUACAUAUAUUUCUCUCACUUAAUCCUCACAACUCUAAGAAGUUGAUGGUAUCUCCCUUUUACAGGUUGGGAAAUUGAGGCACAAAGAGAUGAAGUUAUUUGCUCAAGGUCACAGAGAAGGGAAAAGGAGAAGCUGAGAUUUCAACCCAGGCAGUCUGACUCCAAAGCUUUUUCUCAACUCUUCUACCAUCAUUGAAGAAUAUAGUUACAAGAUCAUUUUUAAAAUUAUAAUGAACCUCAAACCGGAA